UACGGAGGGUGCAAGCGUUAUCCGGAUUCACUGGGUUUAAAGGGUGCGUAGGUGGGUCUGUAAGUCAGUGGUGAAAUCUCCGUGCUUAACAUGGAAACUGCCAUUGAUACUAUAGGUCUUGAAUUUUCUGGAGGUAAGCGGAGUAUGUCAUGUAGCGGUGAAAUGCUUAGAUAUGACAUAGAACACCAAUUGCGAAGGCAGCUUACUACGGGAACAUUGACACUGAGGCACGAAAGCGUGGGGAUCAAACAGG
rnacentral:rRNA from 1 species